GAAUCGCUAGUAAUCGUGGAUCAGAAUGUCACGGUGAAUACGUUCCCGGGCCUUGUACACACCGCCCGUCACACCAUGGGAGUGGACUGCACCAGAAGUGGUUAGCUUAACCUUCGGGGGAGCGAUCACCACGGUGUGGUUCAUGACUGGGGUGAAGUCGUAACAAGGUAGCCGUAGGGGAACCUGCGGCUGGAUCACCUCCUU
rnacentral:rRNA from 2 species